AUUGAACGCUGGCGGCAGGCCUAACACAUGCAAGUCGAGCGAGCGGCGGACGGGUGAGUAAUGUAUGGGGAUCUGCCCGAUCGCGGGGGAUAACUACUGGAAACGGUGGCUAAGACCGCAUACUAUCGGAUGGACCCAUAGUGGAUUAGCUAGUAGGUGGGGUAAAGGCUCACCUAGGCGACGAUGUUUAGCUGGUCUGAGAGGAUGAUCAGCCACACUGGGACUGAGACACGGCCCAGAAUCCUACGGGAGGCAGCAGUAGGGAAUAUUGCACAAUGGGCGCAAGCCUGAUGCAGCCAUGCCGCGUGUAUGAAGAAGGUCUUAGGGUUGUAAAGUACUUUCAGCGGAGAGGCGUUACCCGAAGAAGAAGCAACGGCUAACGCCGUGCCAGCAGCCGCGGUAAUAC
rnacentral:rRNA from 1 species